rnacentral:sRNA from 1 species
UUAGUAUUUGUUUGACGAUUAUUUUAUGCGUU